GGCCAGCGCUAGUCGGUCUGGUAAGUGCCUGAUGCCGAGUUCUGUGUCUCGCGUCUUUUCCUGGUCCCAGGCAAAGCGGAGCGGAGAUCCUCAAACGGCCUAGUGCUUCGCGCCUCCGGAGAAAAUCAGCGGUCUAAUUAAUUCCUCUGGAUUUACAAAAGGUGCAGGUAUGAGCAGAUCUGAAGACUAACAUUUUGUGAACUUGUAAAACAGAAAACCUGUUUGAAAUGUGGUGGUUUCAGCAAGGCCUCAGUUUCCUUCCUUCAGCCCUUGUAAUUUGGACAUCUGCUGCUUUCAUAUUUUCAUACAUUACUGCAGUAACACUCCACCACGUAGACCCGGCUUUACCUUAUAUCAGUGAUACUGGUACAGUAGCUCCAGAAAAAUGCUUAUUUGGGGCAAUGCUAAAUAUUGCGGCAGUUUUAUGCCAAAAAUAGAAAUCAGGAAGAUAAUUCAACUUAAGUUCAUUUCAUGACCAAAGUCUUCAGAAACAUGUCUUUACAAGCAUAUCUCUGUAAUGCUUUCUACACUGUUGAAUUGUCUGGCAAUAUUUCUGCAGUGGAAAAUUUGAUUUAGCUAGUUCUUGACCAAUAAAUAUGGUAAGGUGUGCUUUUCCCCCUGUGUAAUUGGCUACUAUCUAUGUCUUAUUGAGCCAAGUUGUAAUUUGAAAUAAAAUGAUAUGAGAGU
rnacentral:sRNA from 1 species